AAUUUAGUGUGUGUGUGUGUCUUCCCACCCCCCACCCCCAUCCCCUCCCGUUGUCUUUGGGUUCUCUUUCUCUGGAGAACCCUAAUACGUCCAGUGUCUUGGUGAAUUUGGACUGCUAUUAUAAAUUAUCAUACACCACAUGGCUUAAAUAACAAAUAUUUAUCGCUCAUGGUUCUGGAAGUUGAAGUCUGAGAUCAGGGUAUCAGCAAGUUUGGGUUCUUGGUGACUGACUCCUUCCUGGGUUAUGAAGGGCCCUCUUGCUAUGUCCUCACAUGAAGAAAGAGGGAGAACUAGCUUUGGCCUUUUAUUAGGGCACUAAGCCCAUUCAUGAGGACUCUCAAGGCCUAGUUACCUCUCAAAGGCCACAAUUCCAAAUGCCAUUACAUUAGUAAUUGGAUUUUAACAAAUGAAUAUUGAGCAUACACCAACAUUCAGCCUAUAACCUCCAGAAUAGUCCCUAAGGGGCACAAUUGUCCUUGGGAUAAGAAUAGCAGUAAUAGCUAACAUACAUGGAGUACUUACUUUAAGAAGACUACUGUACCUUGAACUUUACAUGUGAAUCCUUGAGACUGUGAGGUCACUUUUAUUAUUUUAAAUAAGAGGAUAUUAAAGCCUAGAGAAGUUAACUAAUUUUUCUAAGUAAAAUACGUGGGGUGGGGGUGGAGAAAAGUUAGAUUUGUCUGGUUCCAGAGACCUAGCUAUCAGCCACAACCUGUAUACCUCUAUAACUGUAUAUAUCAGGAUUUUCUGUUUCCUAGUCACGAGACCUCCCAUUGGAUGCUGAAAUAUAUUUUUAAUUGAG
rnacentral:lncRNA from 1 species